rnacentral:rRNA from 1 species
UGGGGAAUAUUGGACAAUGGGCGCAAGCCUGAUCCAGCCAUGCCGCGUGAGUGAUGAAGGCCCUAGGGUUGUAAAGCUCUUUCACCGGUGAAGCUAAUGUCGGUAACCGGAGAAGAAGCCCCGGCUAACUUCGUGCCAGCAGCCGCGGUAAUACGAAGGGGGCUAGCGUUGUUCGGAUUUACUGGGCGUAAAGCGCACGUAGGCGGACUAUUAAGUCAGGGGUGAAAUCCCGGGGCUCAACCCCGGAACUGCCUUUGAUACUGGUAGUCUUGAGUUCGAGAGAGGUGAGUGGAAUUCCGAGUGUAGAGGUGAAAUUCGUAGAUAUUCGGAGGAACACCAGUGGCGAAGGCGGCUCACUGGCUCGAUACUGACGCUGGGGUGCGAAAGCGUGGGGAGCAAACAGG